rnacentral:lncRNA from 1 species
CAAGUUCGACAAGAGCAAGAUCGCAGCCAAAGUAGCAAACUUUAGUGUCAUCUCCAUUGAUGAAGACCAGAUUGCUGCUAACCUCGUCCAGAGUGGCCCUCUCGCUGGUAAAUAUUUGUCAAGCUUCAAUUUCCUCAAGUCCGCUCAUUCACUUUGCUCGCUUACCCUAUGUCCAAAGGCUAUAACUUGUUUCUGACUAGGGCAUUUUCAUAUUUUGCAGUGGCGAUCAAUGCGGUGUACAUGCAGACCUACAUCGGCGGGGUGUCGUGCCCUUACAUCUGCUCGAAGAGGCUAGACCACGGUGUGCUAUUGGUGGGGUAUGGGGAGGCAGGGUACGCACCGAUCAGGAUGAAGGAGAAGCCGUACUGGAUCAUAAAGAACUCGUGGGGGGAGACCUGGGGGGAGAGUGGCUACUACAAGAUCUGCAGAGGAAAGAACGUCUGCGGAGUUGAUUCCAUGGUUUCCUCUGUUGCUGCUGUUCAGACCACUGCUCAUUAGUAGCAAGAAGAAGAAGAAGAAGAAGAAGAAAUGGAAGCAUUGAUGAAUUGGGGGUUGUUUGUAUAUAGAGUAAUUUAUCAUCCACUAUUUCCAGAAACUGAAUUUGGGUGUUUUUAGUUUUACGCUAAUUGUUGCAGUUUACUAUAUAUAUAGAAACAAGGAACUCCAUUUGCUUUGCUGAUAUUUAUGAAAAGCCAAUGUGUUGUGUGCAAAAUGGAUUUGUGUCUGGUUUAUUAUAUUGGCUGCUUAUAAGCACUUGCUGACGGCUUCGCAUCUAAUGUACACCCAAUUCCUAUGGGUGUCUUCGAACUCGUCAAAUCGUGAAUCACUUGUCAAAAUAAUGGUCCUUAUAUGUUUACGUUUUGACUAUGAUUUAUCGCUGGUUUUAAUCGAUUGAACCACAUUACCGUUGUUCUUGCCGAUGUCUAAACCAUGCUUAAUAUUAUCUUCCCCUACCAAGAUUCUCCAUUUUAAGGCCAUGUAUCAUGCGAUCAUGUUCUCUAAUUGGGUCAGCAUCUGUAUAUUAUAAACGUCACACGCGUGUGAUUAUGUUACUGGAGUUAGAUGCAGCUCCCAACAACUAUAUAUACGCUACAAUAAUUGCUACAUCAUAAUGUAAUUGCGUAUUAACUUGAAUAAUCAUCGCAAUAAGUUUAUGAUACAGCAUUCAACAACACUACACGCCAUUUGCGGGGACUUCAUUUCAAUUACCAUAUUCUGCAAUUUAAGCAAAAUUGACCUGAUUAACGUGUUCUAAGCGCUGCUUAGAGUUAGUAAGGUGUUGUCUUCUCCCUGUUCGAACAGUAACUGUUCACAAUUUUCGAAUCUUAUCCCAAUUCAAGCAGUAACCUCGUUGUACGAUUAUCGAGCACCAUUCCUAGUGCCCGUCACACAUCACCACAGUCAAAUUCAGUACAAGUGAAGAAAGGACAACAAACAGGCAAACCUGGAAAUUGCAUUUUCUUCAAACAACUCAUCCACGUUACGUAUAGGAGAGCGAGCAUUCAAAGAUGGUGAAUCAACGAACACAAGUUAUUCAGCUUAUUACUUUUAUUACACAAUCAUGGCCAUAAAAACUGCCAGAAUUCUUGCCUCACACGGCAACAAACUCUACCUCAGGAAAGAACACAAGAUCGCAAGAUUCCUAAGUAAUCAACCAAUCGCCUUCUGAUCGUUCUACAGAGCGAGAUAGAUACUAACAAUAUUUGAGCAGGAGGAAUAAAGCUCGGAAUAUAACGAAUCCCGCGCUCCCCAUCUAUUCACACACGGAAUAAAUUAAAGCAACACUAUAUGUUAGACGAUGAUGGUUGAGUGUCCCGGUUGAUUGGAUUUACUCCUCUUCGUAAUCGAUUAGUGCAAAGGAGUAGGGACUGAACUUGUAUCCAUCACCUUCGUAGAACUUGUUCUGGAACUCUACCCAGUGGAGACGUAGAGCGUGGAGGAAGGCACUAAGAGUCUCCAUCACGAGAAGUACUCCGACGGUUGCGAAGAUGAAGACGAUGAUGCCGAUGAUGAGGAUGAUCACGUUGUUGAACCUGGAAAGGUGGGGGAAUUGCUACAUUAUUUUUCAUUCUAGAGAUGGAUAUGGUCGGUUAAUAAUAGAGAGAGAUUUAGAGGUUUACGUACCCCCAUGCAAGGAGCAGGACCUUUUCGUAGAAUACACUGGACAGUUCCGAGUGAGCAAGACUGCAGCCAAGAUAGACCGAGUUAACAAAAUGGUCGAUGAAUAACCACCGAGAAAUCAAUUUGAAUAUCGGAAGACACACCUGAGAGCCCAUAGACGGAGGUAAGAUGCUGUGUUCGAAACUGCUCCAAGGACGAAUUCGAUUGUGUGUAUCAUCUGAUGAACGAAGACUUCACUGAACUCGAAUUCCUCAUGACCAUGUGGAUCGUGGGCUGCUGCUACCAACUCGACCGAUUCAUCCCCGCUCGGGAGUGGAGCAUAUGCUUGGCCUUGGUGCGUCUGAUGAAACAUUACCAUCAGGAGAAGAUACAGAAAGAUGAAUUGAAAAUAACUAGGUAGAGAACCUAAACUAAUGCAGGAUGAAUUCCAGAUUGUUUGUUGUUACCUUCUCGUACUGCCUCUUCAAAAGGAAAGGCUUGGGGAACAGCAUCCACGGCACGGAGACGAGGGCCAGCAACAACAAUAUCUUGUGACCAUGAGGUUUGAUCUUCUUAUAACCUUCCCUCUUUACAUAACUUCAGCAAGAGCUAUUAUUAACGAAUUGGUCGAUUACCAGUGUGACCCAGAAGAGAAAGGAGCAUGCGACGCUGGAUGUGGAGGAGGCCUAAUGAACAGUGCCUUCGAGUACACUCUAAAAGCCGGAGGGCUCAUGCGAGAGGAAGACUACCCUUACACUGGCACUGACCGCAGCACCUGCAAGUUCGACAAGAGCAAGAUCGCAGCCAAAGUAGCAAACUUUAGUGUCAUCUCCAUUGAUGAAGACCAGAUUGCUGCUAACCUCGUCCAGAGUGGCCCUCUCGCUGGUAAAUAUUUGUCAAGCUUCAAUUUCCUCAAGUCCGCUCAUUCACUUUGCUCGCUUACCCUAUGUCCAAAGGCUAUAACUUGUUUCUGACUAGGGCAUUUUCAUAUUUUGCAGUGGCGAUCAAUGCGGUGUACAUGCAGACCUACAUCGGCGGGGUGUCGUGCCCUUACAUCUGCUCGAAGAGGCUAGACCACGGUGUGCUAUUGGUGGGGUAUGGGGAGGCAGGGUACGCACCGAUCAGGAUGAAGGAGAAGCCGUACUGGAUCAUAAAGAACUCGUGGGGGGAGACCUGGGGGGAGAGUGGCUACUACAAGAUCUGCAGAGGAAAGAACGUCUGCGGAGUUGAUUCCAUGGUUUCCUCUGUUGCUGCUGUUCAGACCACUGCUCAUUAGUAGCAAGAAGAAGAAGAAGAAGAAGAAGAAAUGGAAGCAUUGAUGAAUUGGGGGUUGUUUGUAUAUAGAGUAAUUUAUCAUCCACUAUUUCCAGAAACUGAAUUUGGGUGUUUUUAGUUUUACGCUAAUUGUUGCAGUUUACUAUAUAUAUAGAAACAAGGAACUCCAUUUGCUUUGCUGAUAUUUAUGAAAAGCCAAUGUGUUGUGUGCAAAAUGGAUUUGUGUCUGGUUUAUUAUAUUGGCUGCUUAUAAGCACUUGCUGACGGCUUCGCAUCUAAUGUACACCCAAUUCCUAUGGGUGUCUUCGAACUCGUCAAAUCGUGAAUCACUUGUCAAAAUAAUGGUCCU